GUCAUAUUUAGGGGGAAGGGUUGCCAUAUACUUCCCAAGGAAGUUUGCAGCCUCUCACUGAAGAGGAACUGUACAGAUUUUUGUGCAUUAUCUUAUACACGCCUGCUGUGAAGUUCCAGUCGAUAGACAGAUAUUGGUCAACGCAUGCCCCUGUCGGAACAACUCAUUAUCAAGAAUUAUGUCUAGAAAUAGGUUUCAAGAGGUUGAAUAUAAGAACAUUUUUGUUAAAUAUGAUGCAAGUACAUUUAAAUCUAGUGAUUGAAAGUAAGUACUUGAACAUUCGUAUAUGUUGAACUUGGAGAGGAAAAAUGGUUAGUACUUUUUGAUAACAUUUGAUAAGGUGUUGUUGCUUAGCAACCAAAUAUAAUUGAAUAAAAAAAUAGAUUGUUUUAGAUUAACAAUAAUUGAAAGAUCUUUGUUUUAAUGUUGCAAAACUUAUUCUAUUUAAUGGAACAUAAUGGCAAAACGUCAUAUUAUUAGAAAAUGAUGGACAAGUAUAUAAAGUACGAAGUUUCCAUUUGAUGACCUUUGACCUUAAUUCUCUUCAUCAUAUUUUUGUUAAAAACCUUUUAAAAUGAUUAAGAUCUAUUCAAAGAUUAUAUUUUUAAAAUAAUGUGACAUUUACUAAUCAUCAUGGAUUGUAAUUACGUUUAAAUUGUGUCGAAUGGAUGCAGAAAGGCAAAUUAUGGUCAAAAUUGUACUAUGAGUGUUGUUACUUAGCAACCAAAAAUAUUUGUUUGUCAAUAAAAUUGAUUAGUU